rnacentral:rRNA from 1 species
CUACGUGCCAGCAGCCGCGGUAAUACGGAGGGUGCGAGCGUUAAUCGGAAUAACUGGGCGUAAAGGGCACGCAGGCGGUGACUUAAGUGAGGUGUGAAAGCCCCGGGCUUAACCUGGGAAUUGCAUUUCAUACUGGGUCGCUAGAGUACUUUAGGGAGGGGUAGAAUUCCACGUGUAGCGGUGAAAUGCGUAGAGAUGUGGAGGAAUACCGAUGGCGAAGGCAGCCUCCUGGGAUAACACUGACGUUCAUGCUCGAAAGCGUGGGUAGCAAACAGGAUUAGAUACCCUGGUAGUCCACGCCCUGAACGAUGUCAAUUAGCUGUUGGGCAACUUGAUUGCUUAGUAGCGUAGCUAACGCGUGAAAUUGACCGCCUGGGGAGUACGGUCGCAAGAUUAAAACUCAAAGGAAUUGACGGGGACCCGCACAAGCGGUGGAUGAUGUGGAUUAAUUCGAUGCAACGCGAAGAACCUUACCUGGUCUUGACAU